rnacentral:lncRNA from 1 species
AUAAAUUCAAUUAAUUCCAAAAAUUCAUGUCAUAGUUUAAUAUUCAAAUUUUUUUUUAUCAGACUUUUACCAUGAUCAUCUUAAGAGUAAAAAUCUUAAAUCUCAACACUCACAAGACUAGCCAAAUGGUAGUGCUCAACAUCUCAAUCAGUCUAAUCUAAGUUAUUCAAUUGAUAAGCUACAAAUAAAAAAUCAUGUUAUUUGAAAAUAAUAUUAUAGAAAGUAUUGAUGGUAAAAGCUGGCAGCGGUGCC